CCUGCAGAGACUCUGAGGAUCUGUGCUUGCAGCUUCGUCUUUUCUAGAAUGUGGCUAAAUGGUAAAUCCAAUUUUGCAUCUUCCCGGGGAGUCCUUACAUCGGAUUGGGAGGGAGUCCACACACAACGUUUAAAACUUGAGAGUCCUGUCUCAAAAGCCAAUUAUUUAUUUACUUGAUGACCGAGGGAGGUGCUACCCUAAGAAUGUGGAGGGCAGAGGAUGCCUUUUAGGGUCUGGUUCUGUCACCAUGAGGGCCAUGCCUGACAGACCAUGGCUCAGUCCCUGGCAGGUUCUGAAGCUCCAGGCUAGCCCAGCAACUCCUGGGGCAGUCUCCAGACAAUACCACCCACAUCUUUGUCCCAGUCAUCCCAUUCAUCUGCCUUGGCUUUUCCUUUUUAUUACAAACUUCUUGGGAAACUAAAGACUUUCUAGUGGAUGGCUCUUCAGUCUCUGACAGGUUCCGAAGCGCUGGGCUACCCUGGUCUCUGUUGGGUGGCUCCUCCUUCGGAUUUGACAGGGGCUCCGGGACAACUUCAUGUCCUUCCAUUCAUCCACCUUCUCAACUCUGGGAUCUCGGCAGAGGUAUUGCUUUCCUUUCCAAUUUACUAUGGACCAUGAGCUGGGUUUCCUAUGAUCCCUGAGAAUCUUAAGUCUUAUGUGACUUACUGUCACAGACAAGGAUGCUUUGGCCUUCUGUUCAUUUGGUUAAGGGCAAGUGUUCUUCACUGACUUAACUGAUGUGAAAUUCAGACAUUGAAUAUUCUACUUCAUCUUUUAGUACUGAGUGUAGAGAUACUGGUUAUUUUUGUAUUGAAUAUUGUAAAUGCUCUUACUUGGUAAAUGCAAAUGCAUACAUAUAGGGUGGUUGAGUCAUGACGUGUGUGCUUCGGGAAUGCUCAGCUUUAGCAGUUUCAGGAAAGGUUCUCAGCAGCAAUUAUUGUGAUUAAUGUUGUUGGGCCCAACAACUUGCAUGGGGGUCUCUGAGUUCCUUGUCUCCCAAUAACCACAGAUGCAUCCAGUUUUCUAGUUGUGGCUUACAGUCCAGGGCUUGCCCACUGGCAUCUAUUACAACUGGGGUUUCUCCCCUGCACUGAGUAUGUAUAGGACUGCUCUCCCUCUGGAACAAGGUUGGACAGAUGCACAUGACACAAGCUGCCAGAUGCCUCUGCUUUUAACUAAAUCUCCAGGCUUUCACCUGAUACUGGGACUAAGUCAUGGUGGGGGAGGUUCAUGUGGUCAGUAAAGAAAGGGGACCCUGAGAGAUGGCCCUUGACAGGCUGGCCAGCAAUUAAGAAUUUUUUGUGUGGAUUGGUAAAGUCCUGGAAAAGGCAGGAAACCCUGAGAG
ensembl:lncRNA